AGAACAACAAAGACAGAUUCUGCCAGUUGCUAUGGAGACCACGCCCUCCUACUUUACUAGGUCAAGAGCAAAUAAAGGCAAUUAAGAAGGACCUCAAAAAGUACUCAAAAAUCUUUGAACAAAAGGACAGACUGAGCCAGUCGAAGGCAUCUAAGGAGUUAGUGGAUAAACGUCGUUUGAUGAUGGAAGAAUACAGCCGGAACAAAGAAAGUGCCAUUCAGCUUUACAACCAACAGAGGGAGCUGCGCCUUCAGCUCAGAGGAGGUGUGGACACAGAUGAACUGGACAGUAAUGUGGAGGACUGGGAAGAGGAAACCAUCGAGUUCUUUAUCAGUGAAGAGAUCAUUCCUCUCGGAGAUCUAGAAUAGACCUACACAGAAAGCACUACUGUUUCCAGCUGUGAGACAAAAUGAUCACCCCCAGAGAGUACCACCAGUCCUUUACAAGUGCUUUGUAUGACCGAUACACCGAGUAUGUUUAUAUGCGCAGUUAUAAUCAAGCUGGUUUUUGCACAGUUGAGCAAAAAGUUCACACAAGUGCAUAAUCAAAUAUUUUAAGGAAGAAAUAUUUUGCAAAAGCCGGACUGGUAUGAUUCUAGUCGGCCUAAAUAACUUACAUGACAUUUUAAACAGACAAAUUAUUGUUUAAAUCGGACUAAAAUCAAACUUUUAAAGUGCAAGUAAACACGAUUACUGAGAAGGGAAGUUGUUUGAUUCUAAUAUGAAUUUAAGUAAGAGCUCAUAUUCUUCAUAGUCCCCCUUCAUACAAUUUUCUUGUGGAUUCACUGAAAGGAGUAAAAGGCAGUGAUUUAUCAUUUGCUAUUCUUACUGACAGAGCAAGAUACUUCUCAAUAACCAAUGGUACUGUUCUGUGGGUUAUCAUUUCUCCAAAGAAAACAUGUCUGAUACAAGAGAGGAAUUUCUUUUGUCUUUCUGUGGUCUGGUCUUUCGGAUAAGAACAUUUUG